UACGUAGGGGGCAAGCGUUGUCCGGAUUUAUUGGGCGUAAAGAGCUCGUAGGCGGUUCCGUAAGUCGAGUGCGAAAAAUCUGGGCUCAACCCAGUGGAGCACUCGAUACUGCGGUGACUAGAGUACGGUAGAGGAGUGUGGAAUUCCUGGUGUAGCGGUGAAAUGCGCAGAUAUCAGGAGGAACACCAACGGCGAAGGCAGCACUCUGGGCCGGUACUGACGCUGAGACGCGAAAGCGUGGGGAGCGAACAGG
rnacentral:rRNA from 1 species